UACAGAGGGUGCAAGCGUUAAUCGGAAUUCUGGGCGUAAAGGGCGCGUAGGCGGAUAAUUAAGUUAGGUGUGAAAUCCCUGGGCUUAACCUGGGAACUGCAUUUUAAUACUGGUUGUCUAGAGUAGAGUAGAGGGGAAGUGGAAUUUUCCGGUGUAGCGGUGAAAUCGUAGAUAUGGAAAGAACUCAGUGGCGAAAGGCGGCUUUUC
rnacentral:rRNA from 1 species